rnacentral:lncRNA from 1 species
GGCAACCCUUAGGAGGAAAGAGAUGAAUCACAAGGGAUUGUGGAAUCAUUAGAAAUUGAGGAUUAGAACAUCCGACAUUAAAAUGUCUCAGUGCAGCAGAAUUUCCCAGCGACUUCGGUGGCGGGAGAGCAGCACCUCUCAGGCACAGCUGUGCGCAUCCCUCGGGCCCCACCGACCGCACCAUCUGACCGCGGGAAACGAAAUCUGAGCUCAGGAAUUUGAACUGCCCCACGCACGUUCGUUCCCGGAUAAAUCUCCUAGAGGACCGUGAUUUUUCCACUUAGAGAUUAUUUAGGGAGAUGUCCUGGAUGGGACAAGUAGACAAAUGGCGGCCCGAGGAAAAUGCAGGAAACUCUACAUUGUAGACGCUUAAGCACCAACUGUCUGGGCCCCGGGGCAGGGAACGGGAGACAUUAUCCACCGGAAACAUCACACCCCCGGGGCUCCUGGCAUUUUCUACAUCAGUGAAUGUGCCAGCGAAGAAGAGUGUGGGGAAAUUUUCUGAACAUAGAAUUCAUAUUCCUGAAACGUUAAGUCGUGAAGUGGGUGCUUCAGCUGUCCCCCAGCUUUAGGAUUUUAACCCAGCUUUGGUUUUGAUCACCGAGAGUUAUUCCUUAUAAUCAAAUCAGCAAAAGCGUUCAAUUACCUAUUACUGGUUGAGAAAGAUUCCGUUCCCCCAGCUCAUUGUAUCGGUUCUUGGACCCAAGAUGUUAAUUAUCGGCCAGGCAUUCACAGGGGGUUAAUAUGGCCCCCCUCGACACCUUGCCUCGUACCAGAGACACCAAAAGCUGCCGCUGAGGGAUAAUAGAGAAUGGGAAAAGCUGGUCAUGAAAAACCUCUUUUAUUCUUACUUGCAAGCUACCCUUUUGACAUUCUUUUUUUAACACUAAAUGGAGAUUACUGAAUUGAUAACUUUUGGGUUUUCUCUGUCACACUGGGGUUUUUUUCCCCCCGUUUGUUUGUAAGGUUUUUUUGGUUUUGGUUUUGGUUUUGGGGGGAGGGGAAGGGGGAAGUGGAUAGGGAGAUGGAAGAGUGUUCUGUUACUGGUUUUAUCAAAUCCUGUUAGGUCUUGUUCUUCAGUGUAAUGUAGAAUGGAGAAGUUGCAUAAGUACAUGAUUGACAAACAAGGUCUCUUAGAAGAGAGUUAAGGAGUAGGAAAUAUAAUGUGUCCUGGAGAAAAAGAAAGAGAAAACCCUUAGUAUGACACACUGGCCUUUAAAUAGAGGACACAUGAAUAUGCAAAGGAGAGGCACGUGUGAAAUAAGGUGUGCCUUGCUGAGCCCUCCCGCCCCCACCCCCCAUGUAUCAAGAACUUUACUUACAUUAUCUCAUCUAAUUCUACCCACAACCCAAGAGGAAGGGCGA